GUCAUUACACCCCAUCAAGCUCAGCUUGGUCUUGGGCGGCGCGUCCCUGACCGGACGCCCCCGAAAGUCCUCGGCGGCGGCGUCGAGCCACAAGCGUAUUAGCAAUUUUCUCGCUAUGUAGGCCUCGGAGUCGCCCGCCCCGAAACACCCAACACUUAAAGGUUGACCUCGGAUCAGGCAAGGAUACCCGCUGAACUUAA
rnacentral:misc_RNA from 1 species